GAUCUAUAUGCUCCAAAAGGAUAUCUCAAAUGGUUUCUUUUCUCAAACAAUUCCUGACUUAUAUGAAAUUACAUAAUACAUUUUUGCUUUACUUGAUUAUGUUCUCGGUUUUUUUUUUGUUGUUGUUUGAGGUCCAAGUCCAUUGGAUGUUGGUAACAAUUAAAAAAGACAAAGGUGUAAGAAGAGUUGUUGGACUUGGAAGGGUUAUGUGAGGAAAGGUGGAGUUUGUACCAUGAAUAAAGAUGAUUUAGUUAACCAAAUAACGUGCUUAGAUGGUGGAGUUUGUUUAUGGAAUUUAAUAUGGUUGAGAACUAAAUAUAGGAGCUGCAAAUUUUAUUUCGUUGAAUGAAGGUUCUGAAACAUUAGCAUUUAAACAAUACAUCUGAUUUAUCUACCAGUUGUUUUCUGCUAUUUGCAGCUCUGUUUUGUCCUCAACUCUUCUAAUUUGUUUAGCUCUCAUUUUUACAGGGCUUUCCGUGUAGUAAGUUUCAUCAUGAUGCAUUCUUUUCCUUUCGGGCUUGGAUUUUUCUCCUCUCGGACUAAAUGAGACCACUUGCUCAUAAUCAAGUGUGAUCUUCAUCCUAGAUAUUUGGGACAACUUGACAUAAAAUUAAUGGCCGAGUUGCCUUUUAACAUGUACAAGUCUUUUCUAAGCAUUGAAGUGGAACUUAUGGAAGUGGUAUGAUAACACAAUGUGAAAUCAGAAGUAUAUUAGAAUUGGUGCAGGAGUCAUGUGUGAUAUGUCAAUUCGAUGUGUUUGUAGAAGCUUUAUAAUGGUGUGGGACUUAACAAACGAUCUUCAGAACAAAUGGCAAUGAUGACAACGUCGCAGUAUAAGGUGCAAAGGAGAUAGAGCAGAAACAGAUUGAUGGGCAACUAGGGAUUCUGCUAUUUGAUUUCCAACAAGCGAAUAUUGUGAUUUGUGAUGGAAGAAUUGAAAGUGGAGUUGGAGAGAAUAGCAGGUUAUGAAACACAAUAUGGUGAUAUCCAAGAAAAAUUUGAUAACAUGAAGAGUUACUUAGAGACUAUAUCAGUGCAGCUUGAUGAUUUCUUUAAUGAAAUAGUAGAAGGAAUGUAGAAGUUUCUGGUCAUGUGCUAUCAUAGGUAGAAAAAAAUUUAGAUAUAGAGAAAAGGAACUAGAAAAAAAAUGUUAAAAAAAGCACUGUCAUCUUGGUUAACGCUUUGGGUCUCAAAUUGUACAGGCUACAAGAGUUAGGCUAGAUACUAUUUUGGUGCAAAGUACUGCAAAAUCUGUGGGAUUCUUGAUUAUAGGCAUGUAUAUAAAUUAUAAUUUUAGGGACAAGUAUAAUUUUUAAUUACAUUUGAAUUAUUAUUGAAUAAGAUCAAAUUUUAACAUAA